GUGAACGCCCUCACGGGCUUAUACUAUUCCAAACCUCUGUGAACUGUGCCCUUCGGGGCUAUUUUACAAACAUGGUGUAAUGAACGUCAUAUAUCAUAACAAAACA
rnacentral:misc_RNA from 1 species